AAAGAAGGAAGGGAAGGAAAAAAAUCCGGAAGAACCCAGAACCCAUAAAUUUCUCCUAUCAAAUCACUCAGAAGUAAAGGCACCCAACAUAUUGAUAACCUCCUUCACAAAUAUUUCCAUUCUCUUUGUAGGCCCUUGACCUUCUAUCUUCUACCUAAAAUUCAGCUGAGUUGGGGUUGUGAAACCUGAGUAUAGAAGAGCCUCUUUUUUUUACAGCUAUGACAAGACUCAGCUCUUCUGAGUGUACAGUUCUCCCCUUUGGAACCAGUGAGAUAAGCAGCCCAGAAGAAAAGCAGGACUAAAACUCAGUGAUUGACAACACCGCCUGCAUUGUAGACUUGAGUGCACAUGCCUGGAAGACGCUUACCUUCCCCUUAACCACAGCUCUCUAUGAACGUGAUCAAGUCCAAUAACCAUGGCUUAGUUCCAAGAUUUUACCUCCUUAUAUCCCUGAAACACAACAUGUACACAGGACGCCACGUAUACCCAGUGGAGUUUGAUAAAAGAAUCUCAGUAUCACUCUCUUACUGUGUAAGUUUCUCCAGAAAAGAA
rnacentral:lncRNA from 1 species